rnacentral:pre_miRNA from 1 species
AAUAUGAGAAUGACAAAUCAAAUUUUUCUCCUGAUUUUCAGCUUUUUUCCUCAUGAAAAAAUUCAAAAUUAACUAAAAAUGCUAAAAAUCAAGAGAAAAAAAUAUAAUUUGUCAUUCUCCUAUU